rnacentral:lncRNA from 1 species
GUGAGUAGAUGUUGAAUUUGAUCACUUUUUGGAAUGACACUACGAAUGUUCAAGUGCCCUCCUAGUAGUCCCUUGGGCUUAGCCCGUGGGUCCCAGAUGACUCGAGAGUGAUUGACACAUUGAAAAAAGUUAAAUUUUCUGUGUUUUCUGACAGCUGGGUUUAGGCCGUUUUGUUUCGUUUUGAUUAGGGGCAGUUCGGUAGCGGAAUUAACAAUCCCUCCCGCUUGCACUGGAUGUGGGGAACUACUUAAAACAGCUUGCGUACCAGAAGCAAAGUCAGGGUUCGCAUAUAGCGGCUUGGGUAUGUUUGAAGAGUCCAAAUCUAUCCUGGAGCUGGGUGAAUCGAGAGAAACCAUGGGACGAUAGCACUCACCCACUUCCACAGCGGCGAUGAUCUGUGGACGAGGCCAUCCCCUGCUUUCCACUCCGACCAGGCUCCCAGAACGUUAAGUCAGACGGAUUGUCCCGGAGGAGCGGCCCAUGGAUCCCACUCCCAUACUCCCCGCCUCUUGCCUGGUGGCGCCGGUAGUGUGGGAGCUGGACGCGGACAUUGAGUAGGCGUUACGUGCAGAGCCCGCUCCCCUCCAGUGUCCAGCUGGGCGUCAGUACGUUCCGUCUGCUGUCCGCGACCGAUUGAUCUACUGGGCCCACACGUUACCCUCCUCUGGUCAUCCUGGGAUCGGUCGGACGGUGCGCUGUCGUAGUGGGAAGUACUGGUGGCCCACUUUGGCUAAGGAUGUGAGGGUUUAUGUUUCCUCCUGCUCGGUGUGCACCCAGUGUAAGGCUCCCAGGCACCUGCCCAGAGGGUAACACUACGAUCCUGGUCGUUGUCCCUUUGCCCGGUCUCCCUACGGCCCUACAGACUGCGGAGGCCCUGUUUACACACGUCUUCCGGCACUACAGGGUGCCUGAGGAUAUGAUCGAGGUCCCCAGUUCACGUCGAGGGUCUGGAGGGCAUUCAUGGAAUGUCUGGGGGUCUCAGUCAGCCUUACCUCAGGUUUUCACCACGAGAGUAAUGGGCAGGGGGAGAGAGUUAACCAGGAUGUGGGUAGGUUUCUGAGGUCUUAUUGCCAGGACUGGUCGGGGGAGUGGGCAGCGUUCGUGCCCUGUGCAGAGAUGGCCCAGAACUCGCUCCGCCACUCCUCCACUCCUCCACUAACCUCUCUCCCUUCCAGUGUGUAUUGGGGUAUCAGCCGGUUCUGGCUCCUUGGCAUCAGAGUCAGACCGAGGCUCCUGUGGUGGACGACUGGUUCCGGUGCGCGGAGGAAACAUGGGACGCCGCCCAUGUCCACCUUCAGCGUGCCGUGCUGCGCCAGAAGAAUGGGAGAAACUCCCCAAAUACAGCUGAAGACAACACCAAUGAAGACAUGUCAGACCACCAGACGGGUCCAUCUCAGCAAAUAAGAGCCCAGCGUUGCUCUAGCCAGUGAUCAGUUUGUCUUCUCCCGUCAAGGCCUACAAGCGUGUUCCCGUAUUUCCUGUGCUCUAGUUUUGUUUUUCCUAAUCUUCCCAGUUUUGACCAUUCUGCCUGCCCUGACCCUGAGCCUGCCUGUCUGACGUUCUGUACCUUUCUGACACUGCCCUGGAUUACUGACAUCUGCCUGCCCUGACCCUGAGCCUGCCUGCCGUUCUGUACUUUACUGACUCUGCCCUGGAUUACUGACCUCUGCCUGCCCUUGACCUGUCGUUUGCCUGUCCCGUUUUCAAAAAAAAACAUCUGUGAUUCGAACUGUUUGCAUCUGGGUCUUAUCCUGAGUCUCGAUACAGAUGACUGGUCAAGCCAUGAACUUUCUAAUGACUGUCCAUCUCAUGAUGUUGUGAUGUUGUUUUUCUAAAUCUCUUCUUUUGUGUUUUGAAGUGCUUAGAGAUUCUUUGAAAAGCACUAUAUAAGUUCAAUAAAUUAUAAUUCUCAUUAACUCUCUAAAUGGCUCUGCAACAACCUUGUAACAUCAUCUCAGUACUACAACAACCUUAUAACAUCAUUAUGACAUCAUCUCAGUGCAAAAAAACCUUGUUACAACCUUGUGUUGUGACUUUGUGGUUGCCUUGGCAGAGAGCUGCUGUACAUUUUGUAAAUAUUUUUUAUAAUGAAUCAAUUAUGGUAUUUCUUGCAUACAAACUUUUUGUUUUAAGAAUGAACAAGUAAUAUAGCUAAUUAAUAUAAUCAGAAUCCAGCACGGAGUAGCAAGAUUGGGGGCUAGUCCAGGAUAGCGCUACCAUCUGGUGAAUUGCUGAUCCUAAAACUGGGUGAUACAGACGUCAGAGCUGCCAUGAAGGCUGCAAGAGUUAUCCAGAGAGCUGAGGCUACAGGGACGACUUUGAGAGUCACCAGAGAGCAGAUUAAGACAUCCAGUAAUGAUGGCAAAGCAUCACAAGAUUAUUUAGAAUCUUCAGAAACAGUUAUUUUUAUUUAUUUUACUUUUAUUUAACUAGGCAAGUCAGUUAAGAAGAAAUUCUGAUUUUCAAUGACAGCCUAGGAACAGUGGGUUAACUGCCUUCUUCAGGGGCAGAACGACAUAUUUUUACCUUGUCAGCUCAGGGAUUUGAUCUUGCAACCUUCCAGUUACUAGUCCAACGCUCUAACUACUAACCACCUGCCGCCCAUCAAUGAAUGGAAGCCAGCUGCACACACUAUCAAUGGCACUAGACAACGAGAGCGAAAGAGACAUUCCAGAGGCAUCGGAGUCUAACGAACCAGAACUUUUCGACUACAUCAUGGGUGAGGAGAUACUGAAGCUGGAGGACGAGGGAUUGUCAAAACUGUUCGCUGCUCUGGCACCCCAAUGGUGGAACAAGCUCCCUCAAGACGCCAGGACAGCGGAGUCAAUCACCACCUUCCGGAGACACCUGAAACCCCACCUCUUUAAGGAAUACCUAGGAUAGGAUAAAGUAAUCCUUCUAACCCCCCCCC